rnacentral:tRNA from 1 species
GCGCCGGUGGGGUGAAGGCGUAGAGCAUUGCCACCCGGUUAGAGGGAGGUGCGGGUUCGAGUCCCGCCUGGCGCG